rnacentral:piRNA from 1 species
UGGAUUCUUCCCAGAGUUAAGUC